GAUGAACGCUGGCGGCGUGCCUAAUACAUGCAAGCCGAGCGAACAGACGAGGAGCUUGCUCCUCUGACGUUAGCGGCGGACGGGUGAGUAACACGUGGAUAACCUACCUAUAAGACUGGGAUAACUUCGGGAAACCGGAGCUAAUACCGGAUAAUAUAUUGAACCGCAUGGUUCAAUAGUGAAAGACGGUUUUGCUGUCACUUAUAGAUGGAUCCGCGCCGCAUUAGCUAGUUGGUAAGGUAACGGCUCACCAAGGCAACGAUGCGUAGCCGACCUGAGAGGGUGAUCGGCCACACUGGAACUGAGACACGGUCCAGACUCCUACGGGAGGCAGCAGUAGGGAAUCUUCCGCAAUGGGCGAAAGCCUGACGGAGCAACGCCGCGUGAGUGAUGAAGGUCUUCGGAUCGUAAAACUCUGUUAUUAGGGAAGAACAAAUGUGUAAGUAACUAUGCACGUCUUGACGGUACCUAAUCAGAAAGCCACGGCUAACUACGUG
rnacentral:rRNA from 1 species